UGACUGGCUAUCAGGGUAGAUUUUUUGCAGGUAACAGAGGGGCAGGACAGGAAGAGGAAGCAUAAAAGGCCGGACCAAAAGCUUAGUUGGGAGGGAGCUGCAGAGCAAGACAGACACAUCUUCCCUGCUACUGGAGUGCGACGCUGAGGAGAACUGCAGCUACACCAAGGGCCUGUGUGAGCUUCCAGAGAGCCCUGACACUCCCGAUGCUGAGGAGCAGCUACCGCUACCCGUGGCAGUAUAUCCCGAGGAGACUGAGGAUGACACUCGGAUGCAGAAAAUAUUUCCAUUAAGAAAAUAUAAGAACAUAAGACUGGACAGGACCCUCUGGACAGGACAGUUCCCCGCUAUCGCAAGCAACAUCAUCAUAUAAUCUUUGUGUAUAUGAGCAAUGAAUGAUAAUACUAAUGUAAUCCAAUAGUUAUUUCAUUAUGCAUAAGCUAAUUUUUUGGGGUGAAAUAUAUAAUCACAAAUAU